GCACACAUAAAAUCUGGCAGCACAUAUACUAAAAUUGGAAUGUUACAGAAAUUAGCAUGGCCGCUGCACAAGGAUGACACACAAAUUUGUGAAGCAUUCCAUAUUUUU